rnacentral:lncRNA from 1 species
AACUAUGCAUUCAUAAUGACAUCAUCAACCAAAAUACACAUAUAUAGUUUGACAAAUGAAUCUCAGCAUUUCACAAGUAUUCAUAUACACGUAAUUAGAACUUGACUGUCAGCGGAGUGACUCUGGGCAUGGUUGCUAACAUUUAAUGUCAUGGUAAACCUAUCAAGCAAUGGAUAGGGAGGAACACCUUGUCCUAGGAUCCAAUCACCUUUGACUCAGGAAACCUAAAACAUGAAGUUGAAAAAAAAAUGUGAGUAUAAACUCAGUGAGUGAACAUAGGAAGGGAACAAGCAAACGUUAAGAAAGGUUUAGAAAUCAUGAUGCACUUAAGUUCCAAAAACAAUGCAAUUUAGCUUAUUUCUUAUCAAAAAAGCCCUUAUUCAAAUCCUUGUUGUUUAGUCACUUGAUGAUGAAAGACCCAUGAACAAUAAAGAAGUUGAAAAGUGAAAACUUUAGUAGAAUUUAAGCAAGUCAAGCAUAAUAGAUUGACUCUCACCUUAGCGAAAAGGCAUUCUCACUGCAUCGAAAUUCUGGCCAAAUAAAAUCUAAAGGGUUUUCACUGCCGCAAAAGAAAAUCCACUCAUGCCACAUUGUACAUUAAAUUGAACACAUUGACAAUCCUCAAGUUUCAAUAGUCAAUGUAAUCACUUAUUAAUUCCAAACAUCUCUAUAGUAAAUAUACAUAUAUAUAUAUAAGCACAUACACCACCAUCCCCUCACCCAACUCAUGUGCACUCCCACAUCACACAUAGCCAGAGUCAUCGUGUGCAUCCCCUCACAUUGUGCACAGCUAAUACCAUCGUGUGCAUCCCCCCACAUCGUGCACAAGCAAUAUAAUCAUUCUGUGCAUCCCCCCACAUCGUGCACAAAUAAUGACAUCAUCGUGUGCAUCCCCCCACAUCAUGCACAAGCAAUAUCAUCAUCCACACUUCCACACCCCGUCAUCAUCAGCAUGUGCAUCCCCCCACAUCGUGCACACAUAUGGUUAUAUUUAUUACACAAUAUUAACUAUCAAUACGCAACAUAUAUAUUUACAUCAACAUCAUAUAAGGCACAAGGAUUCAUCAUAUUGCACACUCAUAACAUAAAACGUUUUAAUAAAGGCUUGUUCCCAUGCAUAAACUUUAAGGAAAAAUCAAAUAAAAAUCAUUCACACUCUUUAUCCAAAUAUCAAUACAUUUCCCAAAUUAUUUUCAAUGCAAGUUCACUCACCUUACGAUAGUGGGAUAUUACAUCGCUAUUUGUUCGGAGGUGUAUCUAGCUAUUCCUACUUGCCGAUCGCUUGUUAUUUCCCCCAGUGCACCACCACAGUACUCUAACUUUACCCUUGUAUUUCCACUUGGUUUUGGCUUGGAUUUCACCCAACAAAAUUCAUAAUUCCCUUACACCCAUGGCCACCAUAGCUUAGCUUGCUUGAAUUACAAAAUCAAGCUUGUUUUUCCUUUCUCUCUUUUUCUUUCUUCUUCUCCUAAGGUUUAGAUGUGUUGGAAAUUAGGGUUAGAAGUUGUAACUUUGGUGCACAAGAAGUUGGGAGAAGGAAGAAGCAAGAAAAGAAAGGAAAUGAAAAGCAAACAAGGAAAGAAAAUGAAAGAAAACUAACUUUCCAUGGGGAGAAUGAGAAGAUGGCGUUGGAAGCUUCAAGAAUGAAGAAGAAAUAUCUUGUU